AUGCUGCAAAUAAAUACUAGUGAAUAUAGAAGUGCUACAGGAACAGCAAACACAGAGUGUGACAUCAACAUCUCCAGUGUCGCUGGGUAUUCCUACAGAUUUCUCACCACCUUUCCUCACCCUCUUCCUGAUGCAGUGCUGCAGAGCAAGACGGGAUGUGAGACAGGAGGUACUGCAAAAACGAGAGUGAAGGCUCAGCUUCACCUCUCUGGAGAUAAAACCUUACAAGCAGCCACGAUCCCUUCCCCGAGCCUCUCUCUGUCACGAUGACAAGCAGCUCACUGCUGUCAGGCCCGUGUAGGAAAUCCACACAGCGACACGGAGAAUGUUUAUUGUGGAGGGAGAACUUUUGCCCUGUGAAGUCACCUCCUACCAGUCACCAGUAGGUUUCUGAUAUUCUAUCACAGGAAAUUCCUGGUGGACCACAAAAGCAGUCCCCUGAGUGCAGCUGCUGGGGGGGAGAAGCGGUGCGCUGCGCCGUGGGGCUGAGCCGCGGCGGCCAGGGUGCAACCGAGCACCUGUGCCCUGCAAAACGCAGACUGUGUGCUCUUCAAACAAUGUUCCAGUGAGCUAUACAGGGGGGCAAAGGUCACGCGAACCAUUAUUGUGCUGCAUUUUAUGCAAACAAAAAAAAAUGUAUUAGAGGAUGUGCUUUGUAUUGUAACAAGGUACUGUAAGAUUAUAUUUAGGCUUUGUGGCUUUGAAGCCCUUGGUAACACAACUGUAUAAUCACAGCUCUUGAUGUUAAUGAGGAAGUUAUAUCAUAAGGUACUCCAACUUACUGGGAACAGUGUAGGAAGAAUUAAUAACCUUUAGGAGAGCCUAUAAAUCCAGAUAUUGAAGCCUCGAAUGCUGGUUGUAUGAGAUAGAUACAUAUGAGAUGGAUAUACAUGUACAUAUACAUCUCAUAUACAUCUCUGCAAAGCAGAAAGAAUCACAGAAUCACAGAAUGGCUCAGGUUGGAAGGGACCUCAAAGGCCAUCUAGUUCCAACCCCACUGCCAUGGGCAGGGAUGCCACCCACUAGAUCAGGUUGCCCAGGGCCUCAUCCAACCU
rnacentral:lncRNA from 1 species